rnacentral:misc_RNA from 1 species
UCUCUGUAGGGGAACCUGCAGAGGGAUCAAUAGAGAAAUUCUAGCAGGGAGGAGGGGGGAGCUCUCUCCUUGCAAAGGGACCUAGGAGGAAAAGGAAUUUUCUUCCUGGUGUUAAUUUUUCUUUCUUCCGAAAGAAAAGGAAAACGGAGGAUCAUUUGGCUUUUGGGAAGAAA